GGACGGCGCGGCGGGGGGCUGCUCCGCCGGGCGGGCGGGGAGAGGAGCGGGGCAGGCAGGGCUGAGCGCCCCGCCCCGCUCGGGCCGCGCUGGAUGGGCGGCGUUGGCUCCGGCGCGACGCGCCCCACCCCAGAGCUGCUCGCACGGCGCGUGGGGCGGGCUGGCGCGGGGCGCUGGCGGCGGCGGCGAGUCGGGGAAGCCCUGCCUGGCUGUAAGAUGGCGGCAUCCAGCCUGCGCCCCUGCUAGGAGCUCCGCCAGCCCCCGGCCCGGGUCCGCUUCGCGCCGCUUCGGCUUCUGCCCCGGCCCCCUGGCAUGCUGCGCCCCCGCGCCGGCCCCUCCGCGCCCGGGUCUUGCCAUCGGCGGGGAAGCGCCAGGUUGCUGAAAAGUGCCUUUCCUGAAGCCACUGCUGCUUGGAUUUCUGUCUAAGGCUGCCUCUCUCUCCCCCUCCCAACCCCCCCCUUUUUUUUUAAUUUGGCGUUGCUUGCAGUUCAUACCCUAACGGCAACUCAUCCAUCCCCGCCCCCCCUUUUUCCUUUUUACACUCUGUUCACUCAGCCAUUUUUUUUCCUUCCCGAGUAUGUAGCAAAUAUUUUUGAGUGAUAACAUCCUUUCGCUCCUUUUAAUACUCGCGAAUUGUCAUUUUUAGAACCAAGAAAUAAAAGGGGAAAAAAAAAAGUUUUCUGCCCAAGGACCGAGACCAUUCCGCAAACAGAAGCGCUGCCAGCCGCAUAUGCUUUUUGCAAGAAUAAUUGAAACCAUUAACUGGAGAGCACAGAAUUCU